AAGAUUGGAGAGGCGAGAAGCAUAAGUACCCUUACCAACGCCAGGGCAACCGAGGAAAACCCACUGGACAUUCCUAUCAUUGGGCUCCGGACUAAGAGGCAGAGCCUUAUUAUGAACGAAAAAGAGAGAAGAUUUGAUGUUAGCUUCGGAAUUUAACGAAGAACAAGAUAAAGCUCGAGAUAGAAAAGAAUAAAACGGUAUCCUUCUGCUUGCCCUUAAAGAAACCGCCAUGGAGGAGGAGGAGGAAUUAUCGCAGUGGGGGAAUGUGGAGGCUUCUUCAGAGAUCUGUCCUUGGAGAGAGGGAGGUACGGUAGGGACUAAGGAGCAGGAGAGCACGUGUCAAUUGUUAAUAAAAGAAGUUGCAAGUGGAAAUUAAGCCACGAGGUGAAGUUUUUUGUUUUUUUUAUCUUCUUCUUGUUCUUUGGGACAAUGACAAAAACACGGCAGGUUAGUUAAGUAGAUGGUACUUUGGGCUAGGGAUGGCAAAAAU
rnacentral:misc_RNA from 1 species